GUCCGGAUAGCUUAGUGGUCAGAGCGUCUGCCUAGUGAGCAUGAGACCCUGGUUCAAAUCCUGGUCCCGCACA